rnacentral:rRNA from 1 species
GGCUCAGAAUCAACGCUGGCGGCGUGCCUAACACAUGCAAGUCGAACGAGAAAGUGGGGGCAACUCCAUGAGUAAAGUGGCAGACGGGUGAGUAACACGUGAACAACCUACCCUCGAGUGUGGGAUAACACCGCGAAAGCGGUGCUAAUACCGCAUAACAUCUUCGGGUCGCAUGAUCUGAAGAUCAAAAGCGCAAGUUGCUUGAGGAGGGGUUCGCGCCUGAUUAGCUAGUUGGUGAGGUAACGGCCCACCAAGGCUUCGAUCAGUAGCCGGCCUGAGAGGGCGAACGGCCACACUGGAACUGAGACACGGUCCAGACUCCUACGGGAGGCAGCAGUGGGGAAUUUUGCGCAAUGGGCGAAAGCCUGACGCAGCAACGCCGCGUGGAGGAUGAAGGCCUUCGGGUCGUAAACUCCUGUCAGUAGGGACGAAUGCCUCGCAAGAGGUUUGACUGUACCUGCUGAGGAAGCCACGGCUAACUCCGUGCCAGCAGCCGCGGUAAUACGGAGGUGGCAAGCGUUGUUCGGAAUUACUGGGCGUAAAGGGCGCGUAGGCGGCAUUGCAAGUCAGAUGUGAAAGCCCCGAGCUUAACUCGGGAAUUGCAUCUGAAACUGCUUUGCUUGAGUCCUGGAGGGGGUAGUGGAAUUCCCAGUGUAGCGGUGAAAUGCGUAGAUAUUGGGAGGAACACCUGCGGCGAAGGCGGCUACCUGGACAGUGACUGACGCUGAGGCGCGAAAGCUAGGGGAGCGAACGGGAUUAGAUACCCCGGUAGUCCUAGCUGUAAACGAUGGGCACUUGGUGUUGGGGGUAUUGAGUCCCUCGGUGCCGGAGUUAACACGUUAAGUGCCCCGCCUGGGGAGUACGGUCGCAAGACUGA